rnacentral:rRNA from 1 species
UACGUAGGGGGCAAGCGUUAUCCGGAUUUAUUGGGCGUAAAGGGAACGCAGGCGGUCUUUUAAGUCUGAUGUGAAAGCCUUCGGCUUAACCGGAGUAGUGCAUUGGAAACUGGGAGACUUGAGUGCAGAUGAGGAGAGUGGAACUCCAUGUGUAGCGGUGAAAUGCGUAGAUAUAUGGAAGAACACCAGUGGCGAAAGCGGCUCUCUGGUCUGUAACUGACGCUGAGGUUCGAAAGCGUGGGUAGCAAACAGG